rnacentral:lncRNA from 1 species
CAGAGCCUGUUAAGUUUCACGUGGAAUGCUCAGUUUGAAAAACUAUAUAUAAAUAUAUUGCCAGUAAUGCUGACAGCGUUUACACUGUGAGGUAGAACCAGUUGGGCUGGAAACCAAAUUUGCUGAAGAGACUAGCUCUAGAGCAUGCAAGCUGUCGUGCAUAGGAAAGAUGGGAAAAGAAACUUGGAUUUAUCCUCUGUUGUAGAGCACUGAAGGAUACGCUUACCUGCAGUGUGUUUAAGACCUUGAACUCUGUGCCUGGCCUUGCAGCUUUAGCUAUCCGAUCCACCUCACAAUGACCAGCACUGAGGGCAUGACAUGGCACGCGAUCCUUCCUGCAGGAGCCUCGAUGGUGCUUGUGACAAGGUCAGGAUUGGUAAGGGAAAGACCUGGGUUCUUGUACCUACUCAUGAGACUCUUUCUGCAUUUCAUCCAGUGAGCGAAGUGGAGGUUUUCCCACCCUCAGAUCCUCUCUGGGAUUUUAGGAAUGUUGAGACGUGCUGGUUAUAAAGCCCUAAGUACAAAAUGGUCACGGAUGGCUGGAAUGAGGCAUGUUCUAAUGGAAACAAAUCACUUGUCAGGAUCACUCUUACUGGCUUGGCCGGGGAAGGAAGAUGGCAGCUCUGGUGCGAUGCAGUCGUUUGAAUGGGCGAGAAAUAGAGGGGCUGUGAAGAGCGGAAACAAGUCGGCUGGUGGCAUCACAGAGCUGCUUUGAAGUGGUUUCCAGUUAUGGGGCAAAAAGGAGGUGAAAUCCUGGCCUUCUUGAAAUCCAUGGGCGUGUGGCUGUUCACUCCAGCGGAGCCAUGCCUUCUUCCUGGGUCUAUUGGCUUUGCCUAAAACCAGUUAUGCUCCCUCCCUUUUUUUUUUUUUUUAAUUACAAAAUUAAUUAAAAAAUUUAAUU